GUCUGCGGCCAUGCCAUCCUGAACAAGCCUGAUGUCUGAUCUCAGAAGCUAAACAGGUUUGGGCCUGGUUAGUACUUGGAUGGGAGACCACCUAGGAAGACCAGGUGCUGUAGGCA
rnacentral:rRNA from 1 species